ACUGCACUACUUUUGUUUUUGUUUUUCUUUACGUUUGAUCCAGAUUCCUACGAUUCAUGUUUUUCUACAAUUCAAAAUGCACCCAAUUCAACGUUUGGGAAUUUCGCGCCCGGGAUGAAGUUGCAUGGGCCUACUGCAAGAAAGGCAUGCAAUGCAAGGAUGCAACGCAACACAACCCUCGUGCUCCCGACCGUGGCAGUUGGCCCCGCCCGCCAACACAACAACCGUUACGUUCCAACCCAAAGGCGCCGGCGCGCCGCGUUCUCGUGAUCGUGCAAAGUGCAAACCGGCCACGGGUCUCCGUCCCCUUUCCUUUCCACCCCGGCCGAGCCGGCCGCUGCUCGCCCCCUUGAAAUAGAGCCCAGGCCUGAGGCCACUCCCCGCCGGCGUCCCGUGCCCGACUCCAGUUUGGACGCACCCGGGAGGACCUGCUCUGCCGCCCGCCUGAGCACGCACGCCGGGGUCCGUCGCUGGCGGCGGUCCUUAAAAAACACGCGAGCUCGUUCGGCGCGCGCGGCGAGGCGAGANNNNNNNNNNNNNNNNNNNNNNNNNNNNNNNNNNNNNNNNNNNNNNNNNNNNNNNNNNNNNNNNNNNNNNNNNNNNNNNNNNNNNNNNNNNNNNNNNNNNGGUGCCAAAAGACGGAGCAGUAGCUGAGCCACCGAUCGCAGGAGCUGAAGCAGAACUCGCAGAGGACCAGUUUGCAUCCACCUUGCUCGAAGGCAAGCCACAGAGCAUGACCCCAAUUUUAUAACCCCCCCCCCCCCACACACACACACACGCACAGAGCAACCAGCCAAGGCAAGCGAGCAGAGCUCACGGGGCGCGCGCAAAGGCAGAGCCGCCGCGAGAGCUAACGGCCAGCCCGGCCCGUUGGCCACUUGGCCUCCGCGGCGCCCGUCCUGCCGAUGGCGGCGGCUCUGCAGCCACGGCGGGCGCGGCUCCUCCUUUUCCUCGGGCUGCUGCUCCACGCCCUGGCGCGUGGGGCCGUCGAGGCGGCGGCGCCGUUCCGGGCGAGGGACGUGCUGCCGCUGCUACCGCGGCGGCUGGCGUGGCAGCUCAUGGGCGCCACGGCGCACAGCGCCGUCGACCUGCUCCCGUCCUUCGUCGGCGCCGUCGCGCCCGGCGGGGCACCGGCGGCCUGGCGUGGCGCGUGCUUCGCGGAGAACGAGGCCGUCCUCAGCCUCACCCCCGGCGCCGGCGCCGGCGCGGUUGGCCGCAACGGGACCGGCGGGGGACUCCACGGCAACACCAGCUCCGGCCUCGGCGGCGCCGUCCUCCACCUCAAGGUGAGGUGCCUGUGCCCCUCACAUUGCCUCGAAUCGGCAAGCUCUUUGCUAGAGGCAGGCAGCCAGCCACUGAAAUUCCAACUCGAGGUCGUAAUGACUUAUUUCCCUUGGAUUCCUUAUUCCACCAUAACCCAGGUUCCGAAUUCCAUUUAGUUUAGCUGAAUUUCUUAUUUCUCCUCCUCAUUAACAAACACAUUGCCUUUACAUAACUGCAUGAUCUGAUUGAAUUUUGAUUGAGAGUUUGGUACUGAAGAGAGAAAAGAAUUUUUUGGAAUACUGAACUGAUUACUGCAAGAAGACAAAAGAACACACAUGUUUGGAACACGGAUAGAAUGCCCACAGAUUAUCGCACAUUAUUGGUAGCCCGGUCGGUUGCAGACAAUAUAAAGGCCAAAUUGCCAGUGUGCAUGUCCAUAUCACUCCGUCCUCUAGUGCACAAAUGUGAAGGCAUGGUUCCUAGAUUCAGCUUUCGUUUUUCUUUGGACCAGCUGUUGAACAUCGGCACUUGGUAAUUCUCACAUAUUUUUGAAGGCCAUUUAUCAGUUCUAUUACAAGUAAAAAUGACAAUCUUUAUACAAAAGUCGGCAUACUUGAUGAAUUGUUAUCUGACCAAAUGUUUCUUUCUGGAAAAAUGUAGACUGCUUCACCUGAGAGCUGGACAUGUAUGGAUCUGUAUGUGUUUGCAACUCCAUACAGGAUAGCCUGGGAUUACUAUAUGAGAUCAAAUGAAAAUCACACCUUUGAGAUUAAGGCAUGGGAGGAAGCAGCAGAACUGGAAUAUGUAUGUUUCUUCUGAAGGUUGACUUCUCUUUCUUUUACAUCAUCGUUCGGUAUCCCUCAGGAAUCCUAAUACUCAAUAUUCUGCACCAGGUAAAGCAGCAUGGCAUUGCCGUCUUUCUCAUGCCAUCUGGAAUGCUUGGGACGUUGUUAUCCUUGAUUGAUGUCGUACCCCUGUUUUCAAACACCGGUUGGGGUCAGGAUGCAAACUUGGCAUUUCUCCAGAAGCAUAUGGGAACUUCAUUUCAGAAACGUUCUCAGCCCUGGUCUGCGAAUAUAAGAAAAGAAGAUGUACAUUCGGGUGACUUUUUGGCCCUUUCAAAAAUCCGAGGACGAUGGGGUGGAUUUCAGACAUUGGAGAAAUGGGUGACCGGUGCAUUUGCUGGGCACACUGCAGUUUUCUUGAAAGAUGAGAAUGGCACCCUCUGGGUUGCAGAAUCCGGCUAUGAAAACAAAAAGGUAUAUCUAUAAAAUCUUUUAGUUCAAUGGGUAACGUAAGAAAUCAUACCUACAUGCUUUAAUAAUAACUGUAAUAAUAAAAUACAAAAACUUGAUUGAGCCUUAGCUAUGUGAUUCUGAUGCAGCAAAUCUUCGGUGAAAUCUCCUGUUUUAUCUAUGGUGAAGUGAUAUUAGACAACCAAUAACAUUUUCAACCCUUCUUUUCCCCCCUCAUUGGUUAUUUAGCUUUUGCAUAAGCAUAACCAUAAACUCUGCUGAUUGAUGUGGAUAACAGUUUUUGCCAUGCAUUUCCUAUAGAAGCGUAUAAUUGAUUUGACUGAUGAAAGGGCCACAUUAUACACCGUCUUCUUUUAUCUCACCAAGUUAGGUGGAGUAUCUAAUCUAAAACUGUAUAAUCUAACUCAAUUAGAUCUGUGCUUAUCCAAAACAAGGUGGAUGGAAGAUAUACACUUUUGAUGUUAAGUUUGGAUACAUAUUAUGUUUGAAUUAAUCCUGGGCUCAUCAUAAAUGUUAUAUCAGAGAAAGGAACUCAGAUGAUUUGUGUAUGUGAAAGAAAAUUGAACUUAUAAAUUGCAAGAACUUAGUAGGACAUGAAUUUCAUGAUCCUACAAUUUAAAGGCACUUUAUCAUAUUAAUAGUGUCAAUUUUCAAUGAUAUUUGGCAAUAAUGACAGGGUGAUGAAAUCAUUAGUAUGACUCCAUGGGAUGAAUGGUGGGGAAUGGCACUUAAAGACGAUUCAAAUCCUCAGAUAGCACUUCUGCCAUUGCAUCCAGAUGUACGGGCCAGAUUCAACGAAAGUGCUGCGUGGGAUUUUGCCAGAAGCAUGUACGGAAAACCCUAUGGAUAUCAUAAUAUGAUAUUUAGUUGGAUUGACACAAUGUCAGACAAUUAUCCGCCUCCCCUUGAUGCUAACCUGGUAUUGCUCUUUGUCUUGGGUAAAACUUAGUAAUAAGUGCUUCACUUUCUUCUUUGCAACUUGCCUUUUGCAGCUUGGAGCUACCUGCUGCAGUAUCAGUCAGUCACCAUUCAUGUUAGUUUUUUGCAUUUCCAUGUUCUGAGUGACAUGCAUACAUAUCAAAGGUGCAUGUUCAAUAUACUACCUAUCACCAUGAAAGUAGAACAGGAAGUGCUCUUAGCCUCUUAGGAAGUUAAAAAUUAAGAUUCUAAAUCUACAUGGAACUUACAAGCAUUUGGGGACCCUGCUGUAGAUUCCUAAGUGAAAAGUUUCCUAGGCAACGCCCGGUGAAAAUUUUCUCUUGGCAUCAUAAGAUGUUGUGUAUAAGACUGAACCGAGACAGAUAUAGUACAUGGUUUGCUGAAUAAGUUUGGAGUGAUAGAAAAUGUAUAAUCGAAUAGUAUGGCUUUUCUUGUUCGAAACAAGUACACUGCCCAGAUUCUGUAAUUUACAGCUGUAGGCCUUGAGGCACUAGGUUCUAAUAUAGACUGAAUUUCCCAUAAUGACCCUUUUAGUUAAAGAUUGUCUAUAUUUUUGUGUGUAUAUUUAUCCGUUUUUUCCUAUGCGUAUCCUUGCUUAGGGUACUGUAUUCCCUUAUUUGUGUUAUUGUUAUGCUGCCCUGUUCGGCUCAUCAUAGUCUGUUUCCAGGUAAUGGCUAUUAUGUCAAUGUGGACCAGAUUGCAACCACACUAUGCUUCUAACAUGUGGAACGAAGCCCUUAAUAAACGACUUGGGACCGAGGUAUAUAAUCAAUACUGUAACGUAUGACUUAAUGAACUGAUGGGGAUAUUCAGUUUUGUCUCUUAUGUAUAGUGAUGUCUGUGGAAUCCAUUUAUGUUUUAUGGUUUGGUAGUAUAUCUUUGGUAAGCAUUGUUCUGCUGCAGCUUGCUUGAACAAAUGGAAUGGUUAGGCUGUUCACUGGGGUUUGGAUCAGAGCUGACUUGUGGUUAUUCUGCCCUGAAACAGGGGCCUGUCCUGGCCAAUUGACUAUAUUCUUCUUUGAUGAAAGAUGUCUUUCUUUGGAAUUGGGAGCUACUAGUAGUUUACUUGAAUUUAAUACAAUGCAAGUUGUCAAUUGGACCAAAUUUCAGCUAACUGAAAAAAAUUAUCUCUAUGUACAUGCUUCGACGCAGAAAUUGGACCUUCACGGGAUCAUUACAGAGACCGAAAGACGUGGCUUGUCUUUCAACCAGCUGCUCACCAUACCCGAGCGAGACGACUGGGAAUACAGCGAUGGCAAAUCGACGACGUGCGUGGCCUUCAUCCUUUCGAUGUACAAGGCGGCUGGCGUGUUCGCUCCUUUCACGGAGUCGAUCCAGGUGACAGAAUUCACUGUAAGUGCUCCACCCUCCUCUCACCCUCUUCCGCAACAAGGAAACUAAUGCUGUGACUGCUGGAGCUGUUGAGUGAGUGUUCGCUCCGUGUUCAUAUCACUCAUCUGGAUUUUUUUUUUCUGUUGAAAAAGAUCCGGGACGCGUACAUGCUGAAGGUCUUCGAGGACAACCAGACGCGGCUGCCGGGGUGGUGCAACGCGGCGGCGGACAGGCUCCCCUUCUGCCAGAUCCUGGGGGAGUACAAGAUGGACCUGCCGGAGUACAACACCAUCGAGCCCUACGCCAACAUGAACGAGAACUGCCCGUCCGCGCCGCCCACCUACAGCCGCCCGGCGCGAUGCUGACGGCCGCCGUGCAAACCGUGUACUAAGUGUAAAUAGACUACGCACGCUGCGUGUGCAGUGCGGUGGUCUCGCUGUAUGUGCGGCUUUGUCCACAGUUCCUUUCUCUCACAAGUGAUUGCUCUGUGACUGAGAGCAGAGCAUAUAGUAUUAUGCAGAGGUAGUUCUCGUUCAUGUUGGCUGUUGUUCAGGCGCCGAUUCUGUCGUUCUUGGCCGCUGUAAAGUAAUUAUCUGGACGUACAGAUCAUGUGAAUAAUUGGAAUGACGAUAGUACUGAAGAGCUUUAUUUUUUCCAAAACAAAAGGAGCUUUGCGUGUUUGGACUUUAUACAUGAGUGCAAAGAUGCACAAACUAGGUACAAGAAAAUGCUUUAUAAUGUAGAUACACUGUACUGAGAUUAGCCUAUGCAUCCUAGUUACCUCAUCAGUACCAUGCUACUUUCUUCUUCAUUAACACCUUAGUUUCUUCUUCAACUCCGAUCCGGCAACACACACUUACACCGCCAUCCUUCUCUAUCUCCAGCACCGUGGAUGAUUCCAUGCUAACCAUAGCCACGUGGCAUGCCAAUCUUCCCCGCCCUUCGCAGUUGGAUACGCCCCCACUCUCUUGCCACCGAUUAGCACUGUAUCCGGUAGUCUCUCAAUUCGCAAAGCCACCGCCGGUAUUAAGGUAAAUUCCAGUUCCAAGCCUUAUAUUCCCUAACUCUAAUCAUAAUUCUUUUCAAAACCUUGUGACUUGAGUAGGGAAGAUGCAAGUCGCACCUGCGCGCGGAUUUGUGGAGUAAAUUCAAAAGGGAACUUAAGGCAUUAGUUAGGGGUAUUUUCAUCAAUUAAAAGUUUAAAACAGAGCAUUGAUUCAAGUGCUUGAGGAAAACACAGCCAACAAUAAAUGGAUGGGAAAUGCUUCGAAUACAACCAUUUGAAUUCAAGCUACAACUAACCAUCCACUGUAUUAAUUCUCCUAUAAAUUUACUGUAAAUUAAUCCCCAAUCCCCCUCCGACCUCUUUCAAUUUACUCCCUCCGUCCAAGAAAGAAUGCAACUCAGCAUCCUUCACACAAACCAAUAAAUAUGUAAAAAGACGCAUGUACCCCUACUAACUUAUGAAUGUCACCACAAGAAGUUACUAGAGAAUUCUAGCUGCGCUUUUAUUUUAUCUGGAGGGCCCAAACCACAUCAGUCAAUAAUAGUGUGUGGCUGCCCAUACGCUAGCACAAUUGAAACUGCUACGUGGCUCUCACACUGCUAGCCAUUUUUUAAUGAGUCCAUGCAUUAAUGGGCCCCACAUUAGCUUGUGCAUGCUAGCUAGAGUUGCAUUUUUUCUUAAACAAUUUUUAAAUCGUAGAAUUGUAUUUUUUUCGGGACGGAGGUACUACUUAAACAUUUUAAAUUGUAGUUCCAUGAAACCAGGGCAACUGCUAACUUCACUGUUUUGCAUGCAGUUCGGUUUUUCAUUGGACGGGAGAGACGUGCGCGCGGAGCUGCAGGCCCAGCGCCCCAGCGUCAGUGCGUCACUUCUACACGUGUCCUGCUCCACGUCUCCACUCCCCCAGAGGCCCAGACGGCAGAGAGCGAGGCAGCCGGGAGCCCCGGGAUCGAGAGUGCACGCACAAGGCUCUCCCGACCGGUCGACGAAACCCGCCGUAGAUUUCCUAUAACCGCCUCCCUCGACGUUGCGACGACGCGCGCGACCGCCGAUCACCACCUGCUCGAACCGCCUCGAUCGCCGGCCCGUCUCCUAGGUUUGCCGCCUCUGCUUUGUGGCCCGAUGGAGGCGAUGGAGGAGCUCGCGGAGCUCGCCGACGCGACGCUGCAGGGCGCCUCGCUGCUCGCGGACGACGACCCCUCCGCCGACCGCCCGAGCCGCCGCGGCUCGUCCUUCCUCACCGCCGUCGCGAUCGGCAACGUCGUGCGUAUACUAUACCCCCUUCUCUCUCUUCCUCCCCCGCCGGUGCGGUGCGAAUUUACGAUCGCGGCUCGGUCGGUCCCUGCGCUCCUGAUGUCUGAUCGAUCGAUGGCCGCGUGUUCAAUUUGUGCAGGGAGCGGGCAAAUCGGCGGUGCUCAACGGCUUGAUCGGCCAUCCCGUGCUCGUCAGUACACAUCCUCCAACCUUUUUGGACAGUUUUUUUUCCUCCUGCAUUAUUCCAUUCGUUCAAAGAUUUCUCCGAAUUCUGUUCCGUUCGCGUCGGUGUGCCCGGAUCAUUGGAUUACUGUUAGUCUGUGGCCUCUAGGAUCCCAAUUUUCUUUAAGUUACCGAUUUUAUUCCAACACCGUUACAUUUAAUACUGUAUGUGCGAUUCAGGAUUUGCCGCUCCCCUGACUGUUUGUUUGUGCCAAUGAUGACUGUGUUUGCAGCCUACCGGGGAGAAUGGCGCGACAAGGGCCCCGAUCUGCGUCGAACUGCAGCGGGACGCAUCGCUCAGCAGCAAGGCCAUCGUUCUGCAGAUCGACAGCAAGUCACAGCAGGUUUCCGCGAGUGAGUUCUCUAAUUAUCCUGUUUCUCUGCGUGGCUAGAAGAUUAUUCUUAGGCUCUGAGAAAUGAGGAGAUAGAUCUGGGUGCCGUGGGUCCAUGUGUUUGUCAGUGGUUUAUGUCUGAAUGACUAUGGUACAGGUUCCCUCAGGCACUCGUUGCAGGACAGGCUGAGUAAGGCUGGUAGUUCUGGCAAGGGGCGGUCGGAUGAAAUCAAUGUGAAAUUGUGCACCAGCACAGGUUGGUUUGUUCCUCUGUUAGUCUGUUGUUCUUACUCUUUUUUCAUGAAGAGAGUCAAUGUCGUUUUGUCCUGAGCGAGAGAGUGAAUGUUGUCACCGAGAAUAUUUUCUUUCUUCUUUCCUUUUCUCUCUCUUUUUAGAAGCUCUCUUCUUUUGUUUUUGCUACUUUUAGUCAGAGAUGUAAAUUCACCUAUGUGAAUUGUAUGUCCUGAACAUGCUCGACUAAAUGUUUUGUAGUUGAUGUAGGGGGUGUUUGGGAGCAGGGGGCUAAAUUUUAGCCCCCGUCACAUCGAAUAUUUGGACACUAAUUAGUAGUAUUAAAUAUAGACUAAUUAACAAACUAAUUACACAACCCCUAGGCUAAAUCGCGAGACGAAUCUAUUAAGCCUAAUUAGUCCAUGAUUUGACAAUGUGGUGCUACAGUAACCAUUCACUAAUGAUGGAUUAAUUAGGCUUAAUAGAUUCGUCUCACGAUUUAGCCUAGGGGUUCUGCAAUUAGUUUUGUAAUUAGCUUAUGUUUAGUCCUCCUAAUUAGUAUCCGAACAUCCGAUGUGAUAUGGCUAAAGUUUAGCCCCCUCCUCCCAAACACCCCCGUACCUGCACUACUUUGGUUCCAGUGUGCUUUUCAAGUGGUUAACAAUAGCACAAAUAAAAUGGUCUUUUGUACAUUUUGAAUGAGGAUAACAGUAUCUUUGUAGGUGUAUAAUUGCAUUGGAACCCUUGGCCAUACCCUCUGUGCCUUGAAAAUUCCGAUCCAUAUCAAAAGCAUUAAUGGUUUGAGAUCAAAAGUUAGAUUCUUUGUCAACAAUAUUGCUUAAGUUUUGAUAAGAUACUCACCUAGUCACCUGGGUGCAUGUCUUCAAAAAUCAAUGCAUUUCAAAUUUAAGGUCACAAUAACCAUCUUUAUUCUGUGUUCACUUUGCAUAAACACUUUUGUUUCAGCCCCUGCACUAAAAUUAAUCGACUUACCGGGCAUAGAUCAACGGAGCAUGGAUGAAUCAAUGGUGAGUAUUAAGAAGGGAAAGUCCUCUAUUUUGGUUGUUUGUUUAGCUAUUUGUGCAGCUAGUAGAUUACCUACGCAAUGAUAUGGCUAAGGCUUAAAAUACCAAUACAUUUCACAUGUUGUCGAGAACUCUUGUCAAAAUUAAAAAACUAACGAAGUGCCUGUUCACCAUUUCUUCAUAUGUGGUUUGCAACUUGCAAUCAUGUCUCCAGAUUGGUAACUAUGCAGCACGCAAUGAUGCAAUUUUGCUAGUUAUCGUUCCAGCUCUCCAAGCACCUGAUGUGGCAUCUUCUCGAGCUCUAAGGAUUGCCAGAGAAUUGGACUCAGAAGGUGUGUAUGAUAGGUUGCACAAAUCUGGACUUUAAUUUAUUACACUUUCUUGACAUACCAUUCAAGUUAUUUACUUGUAAUGUUGGGUGAAACCAUGUAUUAAUGUGUUCACUUACUAGGUACUAGAACCAUUGGUAUCUUAAGCAAAAUUGAUCAGGCCGCUGGAGAACAGAAAGCCCUGGGUGCUGUUCAGGCCUUGCUUGUAAACCAAGGUCCAAGAACUGCAGCAGACAUUCAGUGGGUAGCUACAAUUGGGCAUUCUGUUCCUACUGCCUCUGUUCAGUCUGAAGUAGGUUCUGAAACCUCACCAGAAGCUUCUUGGCAAGCAGAAGUAAAAGGCCUUAUAUCUAUACUUUGCGGAUCUCCCCAAAGUAAGCUUGGUCGAGUAGCUUUAGUUGAUUCACUUGCUAAGCAGAUAAAGACACGGAUAAAAGUUAGGCUGCCAAAUCUUCUGAAUGGGUAAAACUUAUCCUGCUCUGUUUGGUCAACUUUUGUAGUAGUAUUCUAGAAUGUAUGAUAGUUUCCUCUUUAUAUAACUGCAGUCUCCAAGGGAAGUCUCAAAUUGUCCAAGAGGAAUUAGCAAAACUUGGAGAACGGAUGGCCGAAAGUUCUGAAGGAACCAAGGCAAUUGCUUUAGGACUUUGCCGAGAAUUUGAGGAUAAGUUUCUUCAACAUAUUGCUGGGGGUGAGGUUAGUCAUUAGUGAGUCUAAUAAUGCACAAUGCCGUGGCCUACAUCUCUUAGAUUUAUUCGUAAUCUGAGGUUUUAUUUUUUGUCAUAGUAAAGGAUAUUAGAAACUUUGAGCAUGAGUUUACUUUUGCAGUAUUUCUGUCGAUCAUAAACCUAAUAGUAUGAACCAUCCUUGUUUUAUCACAGUUAUAUAGUGUGCUAAACACUUUUUAGAAGUUUUAAUUGUCACAUGUUUGAUCAUUUUAAUUUGUAACAGACUCUGUGAAAUGAGGAUGUUCUUAAUGAGCAAGGAAUGAGUACAUGCGGUAUCACAAACUCAAAUUUGUAGAGUUUUUUACCGUGUUAAAUGUUUUGUAUAAAGUUUAUGGGAAAAUAUUCAGUGCGAACACCUCUUCAGUGAAAACCAUCUCUUCAAGUGAAUAUGCACUAGAAGACACUGAAUAUUUUCUUCCCAAAGUGUAUUCUAUUUGAAAUGUUUAAACUCAUAUUAGAGCAAAAUUUGUCCUUUGCUGGAAUUUAAUCAUACAUGAAAUUUUACUGUUUAUAUGCAGGGUGCGGGUUGGAAAGUUAUUGCAAGUUUUGAGGGGAAAUUUCCAACUAGGAUCAAACAACUACCUCUGGACAAGCAUUUUGAUAUGAAAAAUGUCAAAAGGGUAAUUUUGUUGUGCUUGGGCAGAAAUCAAAGCCACCAAACUUGAACCUGUCCAAUUUAUGGUUACAAACAUAACCUUUUUCCUUGUGUCAGAUUGUUCUGGAGGCUGAUGGUUAUCAGCCAUAUCUGAUAUCACCUGAAAAAGGUUUAAGGUCUCUCAUAAGAGGGCUUCUAGAGUUAGCAAAGGAACCGUCUAUACUCCUUGUGGAUGAGGUAGUUCUGAAAAAUUUGAGCUGUACGCUUUGUGUACAUACGUUCUGUACUUCUGUUAAGAUCAAAAGAUACUUACGUGUUUUUUAAAAAUAAAAGAUACUUAUGUGUUUUUUAAAAUUAAAAGAUACUUACAUAAUGCAUACUAGUUCAGAACAAAGCAUGGAUCAGAGCCAGAAACCAUAUUAUUGCUAUUCAUUCAGCUUAUCUGCUCAUGUCAAUUUCUGUCCUUUCUGUUUCCACAUGAAUACUCACAGGUCUAGUCGUACCGCUACUCAGAUUGGCCAUAUUUUCAAAUCAUGUUCAGUAUUCUCAUGACAUUGUCACCAUUUAAAUACUUUUGUUUCAAAUUAUUGCUAUCAGGUUCACCGUGUAUUGCUAGACAUAGUAUCAUCUGCAGCAAAUGCAACUCCAGGACUUGGUAGAUAUCCUCCAUUUAAGCGGGAGGUACAAUUCUUAAGCAUGGUAAAGAGCCAACGUUUUAGUUGUUUCAUCAGUAACCCUUUUAUUUUGUUUUUCCCCGCAAGGUAAUUGCAAUUGCAUCUGCUGCUUUAGACGGUUUCAAGAAUGAGGCACGAAAGAUGGUCGUCGCACUAGUUGAUAUGGAGCGCGCAUUCGUACCUCCCCAGCAUUUUAUUCGCUUAGUGCAGAGGAGGUUAGGUGAUCUUGCUUUGUAGAAACCUUGUUAGUUUUCCCAUGUUAUAAGAUUGUCACUUUCAUUAGCUAUUUCCUUUCAAAACUAGUAGACUUCUAUUUUCAUAUUUCAAUUUUUCAUUUUCUACUAUGUUCUAUAUUUUUAUUGAUGUGAUUUUGGAAUUUUUAGUAGUUCAACAAAAUAGUACUUAAACCUUGUAGUAUAUGUUUAUUGAAGUGCCAACUUGUAUCAUUGCAAAUUCAUGAGUUAAUUUCUCUAUCAUUCUUUGUAAGAAUAAAUGAUGUCCUAUCUUGUUGAUAUGAGAAAUCAUGUGUCAAUAUAGUGCCCAUUCAUUGUCUUGUCCAAUUCCAUUGGCACUGACAAACAUCUUCUCAUCUGUGGUUUUCAACCGUUGUGUACAUUGUUAAUAACUGGGUGUAUAGGUUAUUAUUUUCCUGUCUAAUUUUCAAAUUUUAAAAUCUAGAAUUGAAAGGCAACAUCAAGAGGAUGAGCUGAAGAGUCGCUCUACAAGGAAGGGUCAAGAUUCAGACCAAAAGAGAGUAUGCUACUCUGUAUUGUAUAUUGUGUCCAAUUUAUGUUUACUAAUUUGUUGUGGAUAGAUAUUUUGUAAUGGUUAUUCGUUACAUGAUUGUUUUUUCUACCGAACAUUACCUCAUAGUCUUUGUCAUAUAGUAUUUAAAUACAUAAUGUUAUUUCAUCAAUAAUUGUGAAAUUGGUUUCUUUCACUUUCAGGAUACAAGCCCACAAAAAAAUUCAAAUCAAGGUGAGAUGAAACAGGCAUCGAAUAUACAAGUUUUAGGUCCUGCAGGCGAAAUUAUUGCUGGUAUGGACCUACUACAAUUGUACUUAAUCUUAUUAGUUAUAUAUACAGAUAAAUAGUAAAACAAAUGAAAAGAGAUGCCCAUAAGCAGAGCUAUUUUGUAUUUAAAAGUUUUUGCUGGAUCGAUUACAUAUUGGGUAUUCGAGAAAAUAUUACAUACUGAGUGCAUGUUUCUCUGUCAAAGGUUUUCUGUUCAAAAAACGUGCAAAAGCAAAUGACUGGAGCAAGAGAUGGUUUGUUCUAAAUGAGAAAAGCGGAAAGGUUGGUUGUAUUGGCAUUAAACUACUCAUCUAUUUUUUUACCAUUUGAUGGGGGUUCCAAAAAAUUCUUUAAUGAUCAGCUUGGAUACACCAAGAAACAAGAGGAGAGACAUUUUCGGGGUGUCAUAAUUCUGGAGGUACAGUGAUUCUUCUAAUUGGCAUUUGGGCAUUUAGGUUUACAUAUGUUGAUGCAGUAUGUUUUCAAUGUAAGGCAUUGAAUGCAAAAGAAUACCUUAUCUUUGGUGUAGCUCUGAUAGCAUUUAGCUGAUAUUGCAUCUCUGUGCAUGAAUCCUGUAAUAGAUCGGUUUCUGUUAGACGGUUAGAGUAGCUAGAAAAUGUAUCUUUUUGAAUAGAUGAGCAAGGUCCCAAUAACUGGCACAGGCUACUUCCAAUUCUUGGAAAAGCAACCCGCUUAGUUAUUCUUUAUUUGUUUGAAGAUUUUUUUGUUUCUCUUUUCCGUACAUGAGGUUUAGGAAAUAUAGAUACAACUAUAUAUUGUAUUGGCAUAUAAUUAUCCUAAAGAUGAGGUGAACUGGCUAGAUCCAAAUGGGUUGCCAAGAAUAGGGCGUGGUCGGAUUGACUGGUUAUUUUUCACUGGUUUUCGGAACCCUAUUGCUCCUAGUGCCACCUUACCAUCAUUUGGUCUUUGCAUUACAUUAUUUGUGACUUGUAGGAUUGUAAGCUUGAAGAGAAUUUAGAUGACGAAGAUCCUCCAAGAAGUUCUAAAGGUUCUAAAAAGGCAAAUAUGUUAGAUACUGGAGAAGAUUCUAGUCUUAUGUUCAAGAUUACUCACAAGAUUGCCUAUAAAAAUGUUUUGAAAGGUACUUAUACAUCUAUUUUUCAAUUCAUAACAUUUUUUAAAAUCUAGUUUCUAAUUCACAACAUGUUUGAUGUUAAUUACCAUGGCAGCUCACAACGCUAUUAUACUGAAGGCUGAAAGUAUGAGUGAUAAAACUGAAUGGGUCACCAAGAUUAAAAGCAUUGUUGACCAGAAAGGGGUUUCUGCAAAGAAACCAAAUGCUUCAGAAGGUGGUACGCCAAUGAAGCAAAGCCAUUCAGAUGUUUCUCUAGUAUGUUGCAAGACUUUACAUGUUUGUUUUUUCAAAAGUAUUUUUACAUUUGGUUCUGCUUCUUGCUGCUAUUUCCUUUUUUUCCAUUUAGGAAUAGCUUGUCACUGGGAUUUUUGGAACCCUCCCUCUAGAGCAAAAAGUGAUGAAUUAUAUUCCAUUUGCACUUCAUUCUUCUAACUUAUUUUCUAUACCUGCACAUACUAAACUUCCAGGAUACAAUGCUUAAGAAACCUGUGAACCCUGAAGAAGAGCUUAGAUGGAUAUCUCAGGAAGUCCGUGGAUAUGUGGAAGCAGUCUUGAGCAGUCUUGCAGCAAAUGUUCCCAAGUUAAGACCUCAAUCUUUUCAGCCUUUCCUUGGUUCCUUUUUGCGUCCUGCAAUGUCUUACUAAUCCAGUUGAGCAGGCUGUGGUUCUUUGCCAAGUUGAGAAAGCUAAGGAAGAUAUGCUUAACCAGCUGUAUACGUCUAUAAGGUUGGUUCAAUCAAAACAUUUCUGUACACUUGGGUGUUUCAUAUUCGAUAUGUUCGAAUAUGUUACUUUUAUGAUAGAAAAAAAACUUAUUACUUGCUCUUUGUAUGAUAUUUUUUUUGCAUUUAAGCAUCACAUAGUAAAACAUACUUCUUUGUUCUGUUUCAUCAUGCAAGCUGCUAGGCCAUUUUUCUCUAAAUUCGAGGAGAUCUUGAAUCACGUGUCGCUGACUGCUGAGGUUCUGUUCAUUGUAUCUCUACUUUGGUUGAAAUUCUAUGGUCCUGCUACUGCAUAAAAAAUGUACAUUAUUAUGAGAUCUGCUAGUACCAGUCGAUUUGUUAGAGCUACUUAAUCACAUCAACAUGCUUAAGCAAUAUAAUAGCUUUGUUUGGAUUUUCUCUAAUAUAUGAUUGCUGGAUGAUAAAUGCAAGCGCUUUGUCUGUGGUAUUUGCUAGAGAUCCAGGUGUCACUGUUUUCAGAGAUUGUAUCAAUUACAGCCGUUAACGUUUGAAACAUUCUUUUUACAUAUGGCAAAGUAACUAACUCGCGUCUCUCAUCUGUGGUUAGCACGCAAAGCACAACCAAGAUUGAAGAGUUAAUCCAGGAGGAUCACAAUGUGAAGCGCAAGCGUGAAAAGUUCAAGUUGCAGUCAUCCCUUCUUUCCAAGGUCACUCGCCUGCUCAGCAUACAUGAUAGUCGGUCAGCCAAUGCUAGUUGGUCAAACGAUUCUGCUGGAUCAGGUAAGUCAAUUCCUUUUAUGAAUUAACAUAUAUCUGUUGAAUGCUCACCAUGAGCUGCAUGAAAAUUGCUCCGAGAAAUGUCAUCUCUGAAACUCAUUUCUGUUCCCCUCAAUACACCGACGGACGGCGGUGGCAGCAUCAGGGUUGGGGUUGGAGACCAGCGCUGCUCACUGUGCUGAGCUCAAAGUCUUGGUUAAGCGCCCUAGCGGCGUAAGAGCGCAUGGCCUGGAGUACGAUCUCAGGUUGGGAGCUGGAAUGGCCAGCAAGACCGAGCCAUAGGGGUGGUACCACCUCCAGCCAUGGCGGCCGCGGAGCGGGGGUGGGGGGAUAAAUCUACUCAGGGUUCUGGGAUGGCUUGGUGAUCUUAUCCACUCGUUGGUGAGCUGGUGUUCCUUGGGGCUAAAUUUUAAAACACUGAAUUUUUGAGCGGCAGUCCAAAUCUACUGGGCCAACAUAUAAAACAGAAAUAUUGGGUUUAUCGGAAUCUAUCAGCAAUUAUGUAGACCCUUAUGUGAUAAUUUUUUUUACAAUGAAUAGCCUGCUCUAUUCCAUGUUUUCAGUCUAGAACUAGAACUAAAACUACAGAGUUAUUCCUUGUUUUGAGCAAUAAUGUAGGCUCCCUUAGUUUCAUCAAAUCGGCAUCCAGACCAGUUCCAAGCGAAGCGGAGAUAAACUUUCCCUGCCCCUGUUUCCUAAAUUCCAACAUGCUUUAUUUAGUGUGCAGAGUGUGUCAUAGCCAAUGACCUCAUCAAAUUGUACUGCCACAUGUAAUUAAAAAAAAUAUACUGCCAUGUGUGAAUUGCCUUUUUAUCUAGAGUGUACCCUAGCCAACAUCACAUAUUCACAAUUUGUUGUACUGCAAAUUUUGAUAAACUUGUUCCAUGCACUUAAUUGCUAAUCAUUUCUACAGAGAGUAGUCCAAGGGACACUGGACAUGGUGAUGAAUGGAAGUCCGCAUUCGAAGCUGGAUCCACCAAUUCAUCUUCUGGAGCAACCAGCCGCCGCAUGCCAAGUCGAGGGCCACCACCGCCGCCACCAAAUGGUGGCUGACCAGGAUUUCCAAGGAGCACAUCUGUUAGUGUUUGCUCCCCACAGCCUUAAGCAGUUGAUCUGAGUUUUCAGAAGAACACGUGAGGCAUAGCGAAGGUGCAAGGUUGACAUUAUUACUCAAAUAAAGUGUCCAUAGGUUUGUGAAUAAUAAACAAUCGUUAAUAGAAAGAUUUGUGUCUCUCCCAUUCACAGUUAGUGCUGUAGGAUCGAUCCAGUGCCUCUCUGUAAUAUUUUGCUGCUUUCUGUAGUACUAUUUGUUUAAAAAAGAAUAUAUGCAAUUUUCCUUCUCCUAGUUUUUUCCCCCAUGGGGUACGGUCAUCAUUCAUCAGUCAAUUACACUUUCCCGUGUUGUUAAUCUUGUGAACCGAAGCCAGUUGGUUCAGAGUUAAGGAUCCUGGAACUUCCUACUCGCCACUCCAUUGUAUUGAGCAUCGAGGUACUAGGGAGUGCACACAUAUACAUCAGAACAGAACAGGUCGAUCAGGUUCUACUGGCUUACACGGUUCUACCGUGCUACCAAAUAUCAUGUUAGCACUUAAUUGACACAUAUUUCCAAAAUUAUUGAAUUCAAAUAUCAUGUUGCGUUAUUUUUGUGUAUUAACAUUUUUAUCCAUAACAUUCUCGUGGAGGAUAGUUAGCAAAGUGUCAAUAAUCUUUAGAUAAAUAAAUCAAGGUUAAGUCCUUGCAAAUGCUACUUGUAUUUAGGUAGAAGUUUAUAAAAUGAUAAUGCAAUUUAUAAUAAAUCUAAAAACGUAUUAUUCGUGGAGGUAGAGCCAACCAACAAGAAUCUACAACUCAAAAGGAUCUAAUAAUAUAGUAUUAUAUAAUAAAAGUGCAAUAAUAUUGAGCAUAUUCUAUAAGGAAAUGAUGUGGUGCUAAUGCUGAAAAAAUAGUUUGGAGCAGAAAAAGGUGGGAUAGAAUUGAACCCUGAUAGGGGCCCGAUAAAACAAUUUUUACUUGCUGGGUCUAUCUUUCGUAAGUCAAGCUGUGCCCAUCAAUUUUACUGGGCUGAACACUGAAACACGGGUCAGACAUGGAUUAAAAUUUUUGACCCAAAACUCAAAAAGCCCAACCAAACCCAAAUAUUACACACAACAAUAUGAGUUUGACAUGAUCCAAUCCAAACCUGACCUGACCAUGCGACGAGUCAAGCGCGGGUCAAAAAACACAACCCAAUGGUUGGCUUGAGCUAGGCAUGGGUCAAAAUUUUUAACCCAAAUCCUGAAAGAUCUCGACCAGACCCAACAAAUGAUCAGGUCUAGUCCGACCUCUAGUUCUUGAAGGUGGCGGGUAGACGGUCCUCUUGCAUCUCCUCGUAGUGGGCAGGUAUCAUGCACAAUGUGUCGGAGUCAACUACCAUAGUGGCAUUGGAGGGAGCAGGGUGGUGUGAGAAAAGGUGAUGAGGGGGGUGCCUUAGGGAGCCGGCGGUGGAAGUUGCAAUGGCAACCACACAGGAUGCACCUUAGAGAGGACGAAUCAGUGGGGUCAUCCUCCGACAAUGGCAUGAACUUACCGCACCCAUACUCCCUUCUCUCCCUAGAGGGUGUUUAGCCCCUGUCACAUCGGAUAUUUGACACUAAUUAGGAGUAUUAAACAUUGGUUAAUUUCAAAACUAAUUGCACAACCCCUAUGCUAAAUCGCGAGUCGAAUCUAUUAAGCCUAAUUAGUCCAUGAUUUGAUAAUGUGGUGCUAAAGUAACCAUUUGCUAAUGAUGGAUUAAUUAGGCUUAAUAGAUUCGUCUCGCGAUUUAGCCUAGGGGUUCUGCUAUUAGUUUUAUAAUUAGCUCAUAUUUAAUCAUCCUAAUUAGCAUCCGAAUAUCCGAUGUGAUAGGGCUAAAGUUUAGUCCAUAUCUCCGAACACCCCCUAAUCGAGCUUGUGCGCUCGAUUCUCCGUGGCUUCAGCGGAAAGCGUUCUCCCCUGAGGAUACCGUGGCGGCGGCAGGACGAACAAUAGGGCCCACACCAUGAUGUCAUCAUACGAGGGCUCCGCAUUACCGCUAGUGCGGCUACUUCUGAAGCCCUUCACCGGUGCUCGUCCAUUUGGUGCUAGGCACAGCACAUCCCAGCGGCACAUGCUUGUCCUAUGGAAUGAAAAAGAAAGGAAGAGGAAAAAGAUAAUAGGGGCAAUUUGGUCUAAAUAUUUUGAGGCAUACGUUGUAGGGGUAAGUAACGGUAUAUCUCAGAUAAAUGGCUAAGUGUAAUGGUAGGGGUCCAAUCAGAUCGGAUACGUCUUAGUUACAAACACGAACUAAUGUGUUCGGAAUACAAAAUGAGUCCGGUGCGGACAAUGUCGGCAAUGAAUAUUUUCCUCGGAGAAUGAGUAAAAGCUACCAUACAUAUACCACACGUCCUGCAUUCAUUUAGACGCACAACAAGUCCUAAGUGGCUAAUUCCAUCCAGAUUGUGCUUAAAGAAGAAAACUUUUAUUAUUUCUAAUUACAAAUAAAAAAGAAAAAAGUUCAAAUUACUCUCCUAAGUAUAACCAAAGCCUGGAUAACCCCCUAAACUAUAUUUUAGUUCAAUUUACCCCCUAAACUAUGCUAUUUGUUCUUUUUUCUGCAUAUACAAGUUAAAUUUUAAUUUGAGAUUUUGCAGAGUGGUAGUGGACAUCAUAAUCUAUAUUUAUAAAAUAUUUUAUGAAUUUUUACGUCAUUAUUUUUUUUAUAUAAUUUUGUAUCUCGAGGAUACUUUUUAUUAUUAAAUAUCCUACCAUAUCAAAAUAAUAAUUAAAAAAUUAUGAUAUAUUUAUAACAUGUCUUAUGAUAUGUGCUGUCAUUUUGCAAAAUUUGAACUUAAGACUCCACUUGUGUAUGGAGAAAAAAAAAGAUAAAAUUGUGUUAAGGGGUAAAUUAAACCAAAUGGUAUAGUUUAGGGGUAAACUGAACUAAUAAAUACUUUAGGGAUUAUCCAGACUUUGAUUAUUUUUCCAAAAAAAUACUUCAAUGCUACUUAAAGUCUGAUAUUUGUCGCUGAAAUUCAAAACUUUUAUAAACACAAAGUUACACCAACUUGACAAUUUAGUUUAAUUUUUUAGAGUUAAUUUUAAUUUGAUGACAAAGUUUAUUAAUUAUUAGAUUCACUUUUACUUUAUAAAGUAUGCUUCAUUUACACUCAUGUGCGUUGAGUUAGGCAUGUAGGCUAGGCCUAAUGGGUAACCGAUCCAACCUUCCAAAUUUGAUAUCAGAACUAACUGUCCGAAUUAUCGGAUUGGUAUUCGAUAUCCGACAGAUACUACCCUUCUUAUCUAGUAUCCAAUAAAAAUAUCUGUAUUCGAAUCCACUCAGAAAAAAAUAUUAGGAUAAGGUACCCGACCAUAUUCAGUCGAUCGGGCGGUCAGAAAAAUAUUGGUACCAUCAUUUGGACUAUGUAAUGGUACGGUUGCAAAUAGUUGAGCAGUAAUGGUAUAUCACCUGAAAGAUUGAAAUUGUAAUGGUAUGGAUCAAAUUGAUCCUAUCUCUUUCCCUAGCUCCAAAACAGGCCGGCUGGCUCAUUUCCAUGCCACACCCACAAGGUCCAAUCACUAACCCAGCCAAAUAACCUUUCUAAGUAGGUGACACAAGAGGCGCAAUCUGCAAUGACACCUCCUUCGUCCUACUACCUCUUGUGUGAUGUGCUACUUGUGAUUUUGAAUCAUUACACAUGCACGCUCGUGUGCGUGAGUGUUAUAUAACCCUUCCUUUUUUCAUAUCUUAAUUUAGUUCUCACCCCUUAUUGUGAUUAUUAAAUAAAAAAUGUUUCUGGGAUUAUUACUGAUUGCUAUUUUCUUAUGUGAUGCAGGUGAAGAAGAUGAUAGUUUAUGCUGUUGAUCAUGCUGUCAAGACGAUGAAAGACCGUCUGCGACCGAUUUUCUCCUCAUAUUAAUGAUCGAUAUAUGCUAUUUGAAAGAAAAAACAAUGUAAAACUAGGAGGAAGAAAAUAGUGUACAUUCCAUUUGAUUGAUAACAUGUAUUUGCUAUUGUGGAACUGAAUUACCUUGCCUCAUCACACAUUGAUCCCCGCAAGAUCUCGUCUAUGCAAGCUCUCGUUUACCAUCAUCUGAUCCCAAAACUGUAUCUUGAGACCGAAAAGGAUGAUCCAUCUAGGUGGCACCAUCGAAGAAAGUUAUUGCUGCCUCAGCAGGUUGCUUGAUCCCCUACGUGCCCGUGCACAAAAGCCCAAAACCACCUAUCGAAAUUGUCGAUGAGGGCAUGCAAAUAUGGACCUUCAGCUUCUUGGCGGCGGUGGUGGUCGCAAGGUCACGAUGAAGAGGAUGUGCCAGGAGAACUAGCUCGCCGGCCUCCUUGAAUCCCAAGCCUCUACUUUAUCUGCGUUCAAGAUGUUCGAACCACUUGAUGUCAGUGCUUGCUCGUGCUGUCAAUCCAGUGACUCAGUCAACAAUCGGAUAAUGUGAAGCAUUCCAAAAGCACUGGGUGGGAGGAGAGCCCGUGGUCAAUCGGUGUGUGAUCAAGAAUAUGUCCAAGUUCAGCUGGGAACCACGAAUAGCGAUUGCAGGUGUUCAGAACUAAAGAAUGUGAAGGCAAUCGGUGUGAUGUGUUACUUGUGAUUUUGAACCGUUAUGCGUGCACACUUUUGUGUGUGUGUGUGUUACAACUCUUCCUUUUUACGGAUAUCUUAAUUUAGUUCUUGCCGCUUAUUGUGCUUAUUAAUAAAAAUUUGUUUCCCAGGAUUAUUAUUGAUAACUAAUUACUGAUGUGAUGCAGGAGAAGAAGCGCAAGCCACUGCUUUAUCUGCCACUUUCGAGAUGUUCGAACUAGUUGAUGUCAUAACAGCCGAUGAUAGUGCCUGCUCGGGCUAUCACUCCAGCGACUUGGUCGUGCUCAAGGAUAGCAUCUUCUAGAGAUGAUUCACAGGACAAUCACAUAUACUGCCCGGUAUAGGACGGCAGCCAGCCGGAUGAUGUGAAGCACUUUCAGAAGCUGGGUGAGAGAGGAGAGCCCGUGGUCAUCGGAAUGUUGUCAAGAAAAUGUCGGAGUUCAGCUGGGAGCAGCCAAAGAUGUGGUCUGCACUGAAUGGUUAUGGCAGGCGUUCAGAACUGAAGAAUGUGAAAGCCAUCGACUGCCUUGAUUUGUGUGAGGUUAGCAUCAAUCAAUGUCUUGCAUCUUUUCAUAUUUGAAUUCCUAUAUGUCUAAAUAAUGAUAUGCAUGUUCUUGUUUAUUUUUUGUAGGUUAAAAUGCACAAAAGUGAGUUCUUCAAAGGGUAUUAUGAAGGCACGAGGCAUCACAAUCAAUGGCCACAAAUGCUGAAGCUGAAGGAUUGGCCUCCCUCAGCACACUUAGAAGAUCUUUUACCGGCACAUGGAAGCAAAUAUAUAAACUCAGUGCCUUUUCAACCUUACACAAACCCGAAAUCAGCUGGCUUCCUCAACAUCUCUGUCACACCCGGUUUUAAAGGCAAAACCGAAUACUACCUAUAUGUAUGCCAAGAUCAAGUUUUAUACAUAUAGUGAUAUCAUAAGUGAAUAACAGCAACAGUAUCACGUAAAACGCUACAAAUAAAGACUUACAAACCAUCAGAGACACACAGCUUAAAUACUGGAAACGGAGGCUCCAAACUUCACAGACAAUCGAUUGGGGUUGCGUACGCCUAGAACUCAGCAUCAUCUUCGGAAUGCUUCACACAACUUCUUCUUCUGAGCAGCAGUAAGCAAGGGUGAGUACACUUAUGGUUGGUACUCAGCAAGGCCACAAGAAAUAACCAGAAUAACGAUUUAAGUCCAUCUUCAAGUUUAAUUAAUCAUGUGAGGGUCCAGGUCGCUCUUGACCGUGAGCACGGCUGAUCGAUCAGUUUUACACUCUGCAGAGGUGGCACAUCUUUACCCACAAGUCGCGUAAAAGUUCAAAGAACUUUGGACCCAACCAUGCGGUACUAGCUAGACACCAUACCACACUUCCAAGGUGUGAUUGCAUAGGGACGCUACGAAGCCUUUACAAAGAUUCCCUAAUAAGAAGUGGUCCGCUAAGGUUUCAUGAUCAGCGCAGUAUAUAGCAGUCCCCUAGUGGUAUAAUGUCUUAGCAAAGCCCACUUCCCAAGAGAGCGAGUGUUAUACACCAACUACUGUCUCCCCCUCUUGCCCUUUCGGUAAGACCGCUUCAAACUAGAGUUUCUAAUUAUUCAGCCAAGACCAGAGCCAUUUAGUCUUGUGGUAGCACUAUUUUCCUGGGUGGUUCUCCAUGUUCCGAUAACAUAAUCAUGAUAUUAUUAACAAAGCAUAGGUAGAAGGAUGGUUAGGGACACUUGCCUUUCUCCAACAGAAAGUUACUCUUACUGCUCUUCAGCUUCUUGCUUUCUUGAAACUCUUACUCUUCAAAACUUCGGAAUAGCGAUCCUUCUACUCGAAGCAAACAUCGGCACAAACAUACAAGCAACAAACAGGUACAACUAAGAACAAUACACCAAAACAAAAGACAGGCUUUAAAAGAGCGUACUAAAGGACAUGGCUCGAUUCUAGGAUUACGCGGACGCAGGAACACUUACAACGGAACUAUGGUUGAAAAGAUAAAGCUAUCGAGAGUUUUAAAUUAUAAAAGAAAGAUAAGAGCUACAAGCUUCAUUUAUUUUAGUUGAGAAAAGCAAUGUUAAGAUAUCUCAGAGGAAUAUCCUUAGUUAGAAUUAAUCAAGUCAUAUUUAUAUUUUCAUAAGAAAAGAUGGUCUAAAGCUUAGUCCAAUUUUAUUUAUCAAUAUUUAAGUACAAUUUAUGCAAAUUAAUCAUUUAAUUUAAAAAUAAGAUACAUGUAGACAUAUAAGCGUAUAGCUUUACAUUUCGAGUUCAACUAAGUAGAUUAAAUUAAAAACACAUUUAUAUUUAUAUUAGCCAAAUUAAUAUUUAAUUAUGAAAACUCGAGAUAUAACCUAUACAGAUUUUAUUUAGAAAACAAAUUGAAUAAACAUUAAUCAAAUUGAAUUUAAUUUAUGAAACGCCGAGGUAUAACUCUAAGUGGCUUUUAAUUGGAAGAAUUAUUUAGAUAGGCAUUAAUCCAAUUAACUUUAGUUUAUGAAAAAUCGGUAUAUAACCUAAUUGUCUUUUAUUUAGAAGAGGGUAUGGAGUAGGCAUUAAUCAAAUUAACAAUUAUUAUGAAAAAUGAUGUUUAACACUAAAUAGAUUUUAUUUAGAGAAGAACUCGUUUGUCAGGCAUUAAUCAAUUUUAAUAUAAAUUUAUUUUCAAAAACAAGUAUGAAGGUAAACAUUACCACUAUCGUGUGAUUUACAUUGUUAUGCAUCUAACGCAACUUGAACGGAUUAAAACGGAGCUAAAACGUAGAAUCUAUGGGUUAAACGACGUUGCAGGGGUCUAAACGUAAUUAACCGUAGACUUGGAGGGUUAGCUGAGAAGAUUGGCAAGACACAAGGAAUAGUGCUCGCGAAAAGGUUAAAGGACAGGGUUAGAUUUGCAAAAACGAAGGUGCUAGACUGGAUCUAGGGAAACUAAUAGAUCCAGGGGGUUAUCUGCUAGUUUGCCAAGACACAAAGAAAAGAGGAAAAUUACAGAGUUCUCCAAGGGCUAAACCAAAAAAAUGCCGGAUCUUCUUCUACCUCUCGCCAGGGACUCUGGCUGGGCAAAUCGCCGGCGCUCCGGGCGGCUGGGGCACCGGUGGGCGGCGCAGGAGAUAGAGGAGACGGAGGGGGCCUUGGGAAGGUGCUCACUGGUGGUAGGGACGCGGCGUCCCGGCCGGAAUCAAACGUACAGAGGAGCAAGCGGCGGCCGGCUCGACUCCUCUACGGCGGCGGCGCUCCGGCUUCCGAUUCACGGUAAGGAACGGCGAAACGGACGCGGCUCGUCGAGGUGAGGCUCCAGGAGUUGUCGGCUUCGUCCGGCAAGCAACACGCGCGGCGAAUCGAGGUGGUCAAGGUCGGCGGCGGCGGCGGCUUGUCUGCACGGACGGCGGCGACGCGGGGCGAGAGAAGGACGGGGCGAGGCGGCUCAGGCAGCAGAGAAAGGCAGGGCGCUCGCCGCUUGCCCUUAAAUAGGCGCGGAGCCCUAGGGUGCCGGCGUGUGGGGCGCGGACGCCCAGGAGGUGGCGGUGGCGCCGGCCGUGCUUGGCCUGGCCUCGGCCAGAUGGGCCUUGGCGGGCUGGUGCUAGGCCUGAGCGGGUCGAGCCCAAGGCUCGGCCCCAAAGGAAAGGAUUUUUUUUUAGAAAUAUUUUCCCGUGAAAGGAAAAGUCGAGAAUAAUCCAGAUGAUUCCAUAAUGUCAGAAAAAAAUACCCUGAGAAUCCCAAAAUUCCAGGAAAAUUCCAGAGAUAGUUUAGGGCACAAGGAGUCUAAAUAAAAUAUUUGGAGCUCGUGAAAAGGAUUCUAGAGCCUUCCAAAAAUUGGAUUUAGCUCUAGGAAAAGGAGAAUAAUUUCCUGAAAAAGAUGGAAAAUUCUCACAAGGAUCUGGGCAACGUCUAAACGUAUUUUUCAAAAUUUUGCACUCAAGAAAACACCAAGAUGCAGCGACAUGAAUGCACAGACAUAGAACAACAUUAUUUAAUUUAUAAAAGCAAAUAAUUAUUUUUCCUAUACUAAAUUUCCUGUAAAGAAAAAUAAAUGUUGGUAAAAUUUUUAAAAUUAUGAGAAAAUUAUUGUUUAUUUAUUCUUUUUAUUCACAUCCUGAAAUUCGGAAAUUUCAGGGUGUGACAAUCUCUAUGUUACUUCCUGAUGGCAUCAUAAAGGUCGAUCUGGGCCCAAAAUCUUAUAUAGCGUAUGGCUUCACACAAGAGCUUGGCAGAGGGGAUUCGGUCACAAAGCUUCACUGCGAUAUAUCCGAUGCUGUGAGUGAGAUUACCCUAAUGAUUCUAGCACAAUAAUAGUUAGCUUGAGUCGUCCCAUUUUACAGUUUUAUUUUCUAUGCUAAAUCAAAAUUUAGUUACCUGUUACUAAUGAAUCAAAUUAUUAUAACUUCAACCGGAUUCGCCAUGUAUAUAUAUGUUCCAAUAAUCUUGUUUAUGCAAUGACAGAUCAAUGUUCUUAUGCAUACCACCAAGGUUCCCCCUUCUAACGAGCACCAAGAAAAUGCAAUUGUUGAGCUUAAAAGAAAACACAGGGUUCAGGAUAGGAAGGAAUUGGGGAGCCGUGAUGGUGGUGAUGAUACACAAGAUAAGCCAUCACCUAAAUAUAUGGAGGAUAAAGAAGGCGCUCUUUGGGACAUAUUUAGAAGAGAAGAUGUCCCAAAAUUAAAAGAAUAUCUCAUACAACACUCAAAGGAGUUCCGCCAUACCCAUUGCUCCAAAGUAAACAGGGUUAGUACGUGUUGCAGUGUCUACAGAUAGCUAUGCACUGCAAAGCCAUGCAUGAUUUUUUUUUCAUUUUAUAACAUGUCAUUCAUAAUCUAGGUGUAUAACCCAGUGCAUGAUGAGACAUUUAAUCUGAUAAGAGAGCACAUAAGGAAGCUCAAAGAGGAAUGCGGUGAGUUUUAUCAGUUGUAAGUUAAUGCAAUACAUCCAUAAAAAAUACAUAACUUCAUUUCAAAAUUGAUAUUGUUGUACCCAGGAGUAGAGCCUUGGACCAUAGUAGAGAAGCUUGGGGAAGCUGUUUUCGUACCCGCUGGUUGUCCUCAUCAAGUGCGCAAUCUUCAGGUAUACUUUUGAGCAUUUAUACUGUACUUGAUAAUAAGUUUUCUAUUGUCAAUUAUGGUAGUAGUUUUGUAACUGUAUUCAACAAUCAAAAGUUAAUUGCGCUCCUCUAUUACUUUUACAGUCCUGUACAAAGACUGCUCUAGACUUCGUUUCACUAGAAAAUAUUAGAGAAUGUGUACACUUGACCGAAGACUUCCGUAUGCUGCCCAACGUACAUAGGGCAAAGGCGGAUAAAUUAGAGGUAAGAAAUUCAAAUGAUCAUUUAUUUGCUCAUCUUACUUUUUACUGGAAAAUUCAUUGACAGAAUAAAGAGUGGGUUACUAUUGGUCCUAAUACAUUACCCAUCAUUUUGCUACUACUUCCUCGUUCCAUCUACUUUUAUUGUGUGACAACUUGAUUGAUGAGCUCGAUUUGUGCAAGAUGGUACCCUUUUUAGAUUUACAUGGUCAUUUUUUUAAUAUCAUGUGACAAUAUUUUAAGAUAUACAGGGACCUUUUUGACAAAAUCAUGUGACUUUUAAUUGUUUUGUGAGGCCAGCAUGCACUUUGGCCUUACUCGAAAUAACUAAAAGGGUAAGUAAAACAUAUGUAAAAACAACUUAAAAAUACCAACUAACGAUGUGAUGUGGUAGGCAGACUGUCUGAAAUGGCUGAAGUCAUGUGACUUGAGGAUUUUUUCAUAAUUUUCAUGUUCACAUGUGAAAGUUCUAAUAUCACAAUUCUCCAUGCUAUGCCUAGGGUCUUUUGAAGCAGCCUGUUCAAAGUGAUAAUGACAACAAGAAAUUGGAUGACACUCCAAUUGUAGUGAUCUUUUUUACUAUGAUAAUGAAAAUAUGACUUCUAUUUUAGAGGAAACAAUGAGGGUGGGGGUGGGGGGGGGGGCAAACAGCCCACCUAAACAUUUUGAUUUCAAUAAUGUUAGGUUAAACAUUUUGAUUUCAAUAAUGUUAGGUUACACUCGAUUGGCGAGGAAAGCAGGCAGGAACUGUGAUCAGGGGAUGAGAGUUACAUGAGAGGGGACAGAGCGAAGCGUCCACAAGAGAGAUAUGUUACUAUAUAUUGACAACAGCUUGGCACCAAGAAAGGAUAGCAGUAGAGCCAUGUGCGUCUAGGACAGAAGGCGACAUGAUAUGCAGGAGCUUGAGGAUGUCAUCAACGUCGAGCCAUAGCCAAUCGAAUACCAUGUGGUUUUGUUCCUUCUAGAUAACAUGAAGCAUGGCGAGGGAAGCUGUGUGUGCCCAAUGGUAGGGCUAUGACCACCGAACAGCCUACUGAUGAACUCAGUUGCAUCUCGAGUAGAGCUCAAAGUGGAUCUGCCAAGUAAACAAGCAUCCAGAGUGUAGCCAAGCGCAAGCGCAAUUGUAUCUAGGGUGCGAUGCAAGUGCAAGGCACCAUGUGUGUGAGUCCUCCCAUGAUGGUAUGACCUAGAAGGAGAUCUUUGACUUCAUUGGCACAAGGCCCUCCAUUUAAUGUUGAACAUCGACAACUAGCCUUACACGGGAACAUGGUACCGAGGGGAUCUGCCGAGUUGGACAAGUGCCCAAAUCAGCGUAGCCAAGCACAUGCAAUCGAUGAAGGGGUGCACCACAUCCUCAUUGGCACUAGAGCGGAAUGGGCAAGCAACCGUAUCUAGAGGGUGCCAUGCGUGUUCAAGGUGGCCUGGGUGCACGUCCUCCCAUGGUGUAGGACCGAGAAGAAGACCUUCACCUUCAUUGGCGCAAGGCCCUCUGAAUGAAUGUUGGACAUGGAAGCCUUCCGAUGGGAACAUGAAGCUUACCAUAAAAUAGCAUGUUUCCAUGUUGUAACCAAGUCUAACACAAGCAAUUGACCAUGAUUAUAAUCACAGUGGUGAAACCAUGACAAAUGAACAUACAAUAAGAUUGAAAGCCACAACUGCAAGGCAUUGGAUCCAAUAUCCAAUCCUUACGUGUCUACGCCUAUCCUGCACCAUGCACAUUACAUGUGUGCUCGACACACCUAUAAUGCCAUGAGUCUACCCAACACAUUUAUGAUACUCGGAACUCGCCUUCACCAUGACAAACUGAGAAACUAAAUUAGCUAUGAUUUGUAUCUUCUAUCUUUAUUUGGUUCUAUAUCCUACCAGCUGUAAUUUUCCUUGUGUUUAUUGCUUGCUUCCUCUUGUAUAUCCACUUGCAUGAUCAAUGAGGUUGUUAUAUAUGUUAGAGGUUUGUGCUAUCUUGCCUUCGUGGUAUCAGAAGAUUAUGACAACAAAUGGCAGCACAUGAAUGCCACCCUGCCAUCUUGGAUCUAUGGAUCCAUGUCCUCUAGCCAUCCUUGAGUUGAUCAUGGUUGCAGACAUACAAUAUUGACGGGCACUAAAGGAACAAAAAGAUAUAAGAUCUUUAUGUUGAGGCUAAGUUCAAUAACUUUGUCCAAGGCAACCUCUCAACCAAUUCAUGCUUUGGAUGAUGUGGAGCAACUCUCAAUGAAUGUUCCCUUGUAACUAAUCUACAUUAUGGCUCAAAUGCGAAAUUUGUGCUCUCUGCUUGUGAACCAAAAAAAUGAUGCUCUUAUCAUUUACUAGCAUUGCUCGUUAAUUUAUCUCUUGUUCUUGAGGACAGCCAAUGGAAGUUAUAGGAUCUCUUUGAAGGCCACAACGUUUAAUCACUUUGUCUAGCUCAAUGUUGAAACCCUUCAAUGGCACAAAUGCUUAUUUCAAUUAAGCCACACCUGCUAUAGAUACUCUAACUAUAGUAGGAAUGAUGAAAAUCAUAGAUGUCAUGAUAGAGGUAAUGGAGCCCAUGGUAGCACUACCUAGUUUGGCCGCAACAAUAUCAACCUUGCCAGUGGUAGUCUCCAUCCACUCGGUUGCUUAUCUUGGCAUUGUAGCAUUACCUAUUUAAACAAUGGCAACUUUUCAAUAGUGGUCUCCAUCCACCUAGCUUACCUUUGCAAUCCUUCCUUAACCCUUAGGCUGACUAAUUCAAUGUUUAUCAUGCUUAAUGGCCAACAACUGAGCACCUAGCAACCAAGACAACCUCCACUUGUAGUACCAUAGUCGCAAACCAUCAUUGCAUCUAUAUUGCAAUCAUGAGUAUUGAUUCCACUGCUCUCAGCACUAACACAACCUUUUCCUUGACAUCUUCAUUAUAAGACCAACAUUCUCUCUUGAAUGCUUUCAACAUCACAAUUCUCAUGUCGCCACCAUGGAUAGAUAAGUUUGUGGACUUGAGGGCAUAUGCUCACAUGACCUUAGAGACUAGUAACCUUACAUCCUUCUUCUAUUCAAUUACAUAAACAUAGUUGUUGAGAACAAUAUUUACAUCGCCAUUGGUUUUACUGAUCACAUCACAGUUGACUCAACCCCUCCACUUCUCUUAGAUCUCCUCCAAUGGUCGCAUAUGAGCUAGCUCAUAGAAUAUUUUCUCAUAUUUUAAUAGGAGAGAGAGAAGAGCUAUCUCUUGAUCAAGAGAUAGUCUCAUUCACACACUUCAAGAAUAUGUGGGGAUGAUAUGUGGGGUCAUUCAUAUUAUGAGUUAUGUGCUAAGAGCCAGAUCAUCGGAAGGGUUGUCUCCUAGAGUGCUUAGAGCUAGGUACUAGCUCAUGCCAUUGGAGGAGGCCUUAUCUUAAGAAUCACUGCUACUAAAAAAAAUACUCCCUCUCAGCUCAACCCUCCACUCCUAGCUAGCACAUAACUUGGAUAAGGCAUCACUGCCAAAUCAUAACACAAGCCAGCAGUGAUAAGCCUCUAAAGUGUUAUCAAUCGGCAUUGAUCUCCCUUACUAUUUGUGCUGAUAUCUAUUACCACCAAUAUGGAUACUCAUGAAUAUUAUCAUUUUCAUACUACUGAAUUGAAAAGAACAUUGAUACGGGAUUACUAGAUGUUCUUGUUACUCCUAGUAUCACAAAGAAUGCUAUUUCUAUUAGGCAAACUGAUAACCAUUGUUCUACUAAAUUUGAUCCCUUUAGCCACUCUAUGAAGGAUAUGUUGGUGCUUACAAAGCCCAAACAAGUGUGUUGGGCACCUUGGAUUAGAAGGCUAGGCCCGGUAGGGUAACUAGAGGACUGAGUACCUAGUACAGUGUUAUGUUCUGCCUUCCUCUAAUUGGACUGGUAUUUAUAAUUAUAGCCAACAGAUGAGAUAGAGUGAAAGGGCAUGUGAGAAAUUACUGUAUUACCCCCAGUACAGCCGGUAUAUGCUUAAGUCGAAAUUGUUGCUUUGCCCUCGGUGCAGCCGGAUAUGGCCAGCAAGUUUAGUUCAGGAUGAGGCGGGCUCCAGGGACAUUUCCCCUAGGAGAUGGUAGUGGAUGCAAACUCAGCAUCCUGGUCUUCUAGGGCAUAUACAUGGCUUGCCCCAAGGCCCUGAAGCGACCCCACCAAGAGGGCGGCCACUGGUUGGCCCUUCCCGCCCAUGAGGUCACUUAGGCAGCCGAGGGUAGAACCAGGAAGGCGUCAUCCUGGGGGAAAGGAUCCAGUGCUGCAGGCCUAGGGUACUCUAAGGCCUCUUCCGCUUUCACCCUUGCCCCUUCCUACUCCUCUUGGGUUGUAUCCUUCCAUGUGGUCGAUAACCCAAGGAGAAGGUGAUGGCCUCCAUCGAUUCCACGGUGAGGUCCUCCAGGACCCUCGGCCCGUGAUUUCCCCAACAGGAUCUCCACACCAAGAAAACAAUCAUCAAAUGCAAUAGUCAUGGCAACAUCUAUACCCUCUUUAGUGGCUCUCCUCUUCUUAUGCCCUAGUCUCCAUCGCAUCAUGUGCCACACAAUGUCAAUGUUAUUUCAGACAUUCUAGUCAUCAAGCUUUAUUAUCGCUUAGUCCAUUCUUAUGUGGGAAAAUUAUUCUCUUAAUGAGGUUUGAGUUCUCCAUAUCCCUCUUGUCUCAAUAUAUGCAUGGGCAUUUCUAUCAAGAACAUGCUAACAUUUACCUUUGUUAACAUUUUCAUUCAAGUCUCAAUGGGCCCUUUGCUCCCGCUAGUGAGAGAGGGUAGGAGCAUCAUGUUAGUCUAGCACAAGGUUCAUUCCAUGUGUUUGUGCCUAUCCCACUCAUGAUUCUAGAAAUUCUCACAACAUACCCAAAAUGCUAGGAUUCUGCCAUCACGUCAACUAACUAGGAAAGAUUCUUAGUUAUGAUUGUGUAAUGUUUUUUGUUUGUUCUCUUAUGCUACAUGUUGGCACAUCCCUUGUAUGUGAACACAUGUCACCUCCAUUAUAUAUACUUGCACAAAAUGAGAUUGUUUGGUGUUUGAGUUAUUUCUCCUUCACAUACUCGGGUUGUGAGGAUUCAAAACUUCAAAUCAUUGUUUUCUACGGUGUUGGAAACAACACAAAAAAAAACUUCUUGAGCAGUAGAAUCAUUAUUGUAAAUCUCAACUGGUUGUGCCGGCCUCAGCCAUAAUUGCCAAAAGCACAAUCAUUACUGUAGGAACAAUAUAAAUUACACCUGCUCAGCCGUAGAUUUGAGUUCGUAUCAAAGAAUGUCGAAUCAUGUUUAAAUGAUAAUUGCGUUCUUCAUAAUACUAUAACCUCAACUAUUCUGAAUGGCAUUUCAUUUUUACUGAAGUGUUUACAUUUGUGUUACUUCUGAUUUUGUAUUGUUGCGCGUGCGUGUGUGUGAUAUAACUCUUCUUUCUUCCGUAUCUAAUUUAGUUCUCACCCCUUAUCGUGGUUAUUGAAUAAAAAUGUUUAUGGAAUUAUAAUUGAUUACUAAUUACUUAUGUGAUGCAGGUGAAAAAGAUGAUAGAUUAUGAUCAUGCUGUCAAGACGAUGAAAGACCGUCUGCGGCCUAUUUUUCUCCUCACAUCAGUGAUUAAAGGAAAAAAACAAUGUAAAACUAGGAGGAAAAAAAUAGUGUGCAUUCCAUUUGAUCGAUAAAUUAAACAGGUAUGUAUUUGCUUGUGUGGAACUGAAUCACCUUACCUCAUCACCCGUUGAUCCCCGCAAGAUCUCAUCUAUGCAAAGCUCUCGUUUAUCAUCAUCUGAUCCCCAAUAAACUGUAUCAUACUCCGAAAAGGAUGGUCCAUCUGGGUGGCACCAGCGAAGAAAACCAUUGCUGCCUCAGCAGGUUGCUUGAUCCCGUAUAUGGGCGCACAAAAAUUUAAAACCAUUUGUCGAAAUUAUCGAUGAGGAGUUGAGGACAAGCGAAUAUGGUUCUUUUUUUUUUCUAAAACAACUAACAACUGAAAAAUGAAACCUCUUAUUCUAAAAAAGUGCAAAAUAUCUGCAGCUCUGUAGUACCCGCCCGAAAUGCCCCUGCCGGCUAAUAUCUCAGCGCGCGCGUUUAUCCCUUCGGCGCGGCCGCGACGUGUGGCGCAGGCCCCGUUGCCGAUGAAUAUCUCCGGCGCCCUUUUCGCCUUUAUCCGCGCCUAUAUCGCAUUCCGGCAGGUCCACGUUGCGUCUUCGGGGUCGCCGGUGGUUUCGCGAUUUUUUGGUCAUGGAGUGCCGUGUCGUGCUUCCGCUCCAGGGCGCCGGGGUCGUCGGGGCCCGUCCACGCGUUGCCGUCCCCGUGCAGCAGGCGUUCUGGAGGACGGCGGAGCGGCGGCUGCGGCGGCUUGCGGGUGCCGUGGCGCCGACGAGGUGCAGCAAGAUGUACGUCCCCGGUAAGCAUUGGCUUCCACUGCACAUACUCUGUUUCUAUACUCCAUUGCUGGUAGCUGCUGUAAGCCUGUAACUCUGUAAGUGAUUUCACUGCACUGUAAAGCGAAAUCAAAACCCUGUUCACGACAUAGCUAGGAAGAACGAUAAGAAUCUCUCAUGAAACAACUUUCCUCAAAGUAAUACAGAAUGUUCUAAAACAGGGGAACUGGGCCAGUGGCCUGGUUUAAGUGUGUGUUUUGCUUAUUUUCGACGUGGGUUUACCGCCUGUCGCUGUCCUUGGCAAUGGUUAUUCAGG
rnacentral:lncRNA from 1 species